AUGCGUGCCAAGAUGAAUGUUCGGCUUCCAAAGACCGUCAACGAACUCUACAUGUUGGCAGACAAGUGUGCUCAUGCCGAAGAGGGAAGAAGACUUCCCGAGGAAGAGGUUGGUGUCGAAGUCGAUUUGGAAGACGACGACAACGCUGCCACCCCUAGGAAGAGGAAUAGAAAGCACAGCAAGAAGUGUAAAGGGAAAGCAGUGAUGGCCGUUGAGAGCUCCUGUGACCUUAGCACCAGCAAGAAGGCAAAGACCGAGGCACCCGGCAAGGAAGCUGCUACUUGCAUUGACUGUCGGGCAGCUACGACGGCUGAGAAAACUGGUAAAUCCGACGGGCCAUACUGCAAGAUCCACAGGACCAAGGGCCAUGAUCUCCAAGAUUGUAAACAAGUCGAACAACUGGUGGAAAGGUAG
rnacentral:rRNA from 1 species